UCUUUGCUAGUAUAUCGGUUAGUACACGCGCCUGUCAUAAUUGGCUGGCAACUCCCCGAGCGCGCGAAAGCUGGGUUCGACUCCCAGGCAGAGAG